GAUGAACGCUGGCGGCGUGCCUAAUACAUGCAAGUCGAGCGAACGGACGAGAAGCUUGCUUUUCUGAUGUUAGCGGCGGACGGGUGAGUAACACGUGGAUAACCUACCUAUAAGACUGGGAUAACUUCGGGAAACCGGAGCUAAUACCGGAUAAUAUUUUGAACCGCAUGGUUCAUAAGUGAAAGACGGUCUUGCUGUCACUUAUAGAUGGAUCCGCGCUGCAUUAGCUAGUUGGUAAGGUAACGGCUUACCAAGGCAACGAUGCAUAGCCGACCUGAGAGGGUGUUCGGCCACACUGGAACUGAGACACGGUCCAGACUCCUACGGGAGGCAGCAGUAGGGAAUCUUCCGCAAUGGGCGAAAGCCUGACGGAGCAACGCCGCGUGAGUGAUGAAGGUCUUCGGAUCGUAAAACUCUGUUAUUAGGGAAGAACAUAUGUGUAAGUAACUGUGCACAUCUUGACGGUACCUAAUCAGAAAGCCACGGCUAACUACGUG
rnacentral:rRNA from 1 species